GAUGAACGCUGGCGGUCUGCUUAACACAUGCAAGUCGAACGGAGUAGCAAUACUUAGUGGCGGACGGGUGAGUAACGCGUGAGAAUCUGCCCUUAGGUCGGGGACAACCAUUGGAAACGAUGGCUAAUACCGGAUAAGCCCGUGGGUAAAAGAUUAAUUGCCUAGGGAAGAGCUCGCGUCUGAUUAGCUAGUUGGUGAGGUAAAGGCUCACCAAGGCAUCGAUCAGUAGCUGGUCUGAGAGGAUGACCAGCCACACUGGGACUGAGACACGGCCCAGACUCCUACGGGAGGCAGCAGUGGGGAAUUUUCCGCAAUGGGCGAAAGCCUGACGGAGCAAGACCGCGUGAGGGAGGAAGGCUCUUGGGUUGUAAACCUCUUUUCUUGGGGAAGAAAAAAAUGACGGUACCCAAGGAAUCAGCAUCGGCUAACUCCGUG
rnacentral:rRNA from 1 species